GGCCCGAUGGUCUAGAGGUAUGAUUCUCGCUUAGGGUGUGAGAGGUCCCGGGUUCAAUUCCCGCUCGGGCCC
rnacentral:tRNA from 1 species